rnacentral:rRNA from 1 species
GGAAUUGUUCGCAAUGGGCGCAAGCCUGACGACGCAACGCCGCGUGGAGGAUGAAGGUCUUCGGAUUGUAACCUCCUGUUGCCCGGGACGAACCGCUCCGACCUAACACGUCGGAGUCUGACGGUACCGGGUGAGGAAGCCCCGGCUCACCCUGUGCCAGCAGCCGCGGUAAUACACAGGGGGCGACCGUUGUGCGGAAUUACUGGGCGUAAAGGGCGCGUAGGUGGCCUGUUAAGUCGAACGUGAAAUCCCCGGGCUCAACCCGGGAACUGCGUCCGAGACUGGCAGGCUUGAAUCCGGGAGAGGGAUGUGGAAUUCCAGGUGUAGCGGUGAAAUGCGUAGAUAUCUGGAGGAACACCGGUGGCGAAGGCGGCAUCCUGGACCGGUAUUGACGCUGAGGCGCGAAAGCCAGGGGAGCAAAC